CUUCUGCAAGGGUUUUUUUCAGUCAGGCUGCUGGCUAGAGUACAGCUAUCAGCUGGUACCUGAUCUAGUCAAAGCCUGACAGUAAACUGCUCCAG
rnacentral:pre_miRNA from 7 species